rnacentral:misc_RNA from 1 species
GUGAAUCAUCGAAUCUUUGAACGCAAAUUGCACUCUCUGGCAUUCCGGAGAGUAUGCCUGUUUGAGGGUCAGUUUAAAUAAAAAUCGAUGCUGCUGCUGUUGUGGCGCUUCGGAAUUGGGGCAUCUUCCACCUUUCGGGGUUGUAAGCGACCUAAAAGUUUUCUUACGAGUUCUACGAACGUGUCUAAGAAUGUCUUGUACGUUCUCGACAUCGAAAUCAUAUUAGUGGCGACCGCCGCAUCGGUUUCGCUCCCAUAAUGUAUAAUCUAAGGACG